GACGAGAGAGAGAGAGAGGGAUAAAGCGAAAAUGUUCGAGUUCUUCAUCCUCGGGUGCACUGGAAUCGUGGUGUUCCUCCACAGCGCUAAUUUCCUCUUCCACGCCCUCUCGCAGCGGAUCACCGUCCGAUCCCUCAGCUUUCUGGGAUUCAUCGGAUGGUAGGAAGGAUUAGUUCGAGGAUAUGUCGGCACUCCAAUUUGUAUAAUUUUUUGAUAUUAUUGUCAACAAAAAAGUCGCGAAGAUGCUCUAUUAAUGUAGACUUAACCGUGUAACUAAAGGAAAGGGGUUUUUUUGUUUGGUCUUAUAA